rnacentral:rRNA from 1 species
GUUUAUGGUCAUAUCAUGCUGGGCACGCCUGCUCUUGUCUGAUCUCAGAAGCCAAGCAGGGUCUGGCCUGGAUGGGAGAUCACCUGGGACUGACUUUCUCGCUAAAUC